rnacentral:lncRNA from 1 species
AUUCAAUCAAAGCGCUGUAAGCGUUGAAGGCAGUUAACCAAAAACCAAGGCAACCGUAAUUAUGAAAACUGUGGCAAUGUUGCCUCAACAUUAAACAUUCAUGUAUAGUACAUUCAUCUUUAUCUAAUGAUUUAUUUAUUAAGGCAAAUAAUUUAUAUGUUAUCAAGGUUUCAAAAGCAAUGCAUAUACAAAUGUAUAUUUUUAUGCCCCACCUACGAUAGUAGAGGGGCAUUAUGUUUUCUGGUCUGUGCGUCCGUUCGUCCGUCCGUUCGUUCGUCCGUCCGUUGUACCGUUCGUUCGUCCGUCCGUUCGUUCGUCCGUCUGUCCCGCUUCAGGUUAAAGUUUUUGGUCGAGGUAGUUUUUGUUGAAGUUGAAGUCCAAUCGACUUCAAACUUGGUACACAUGUUCCCUAUGAUAUGAUCUUUCUAAUUUUAAUGCCAAAUUAGAGAUUUUACCCCAAUUUCACGGUCCACUGAACAUAGAAAAUGAUAGUGCGAGUGGGGCAUUCGUGUACUGAGGACACAUUCUUGUUUAUGGUAAGUCUGCACUGGUACAAGUUCCCAAUGAUUGCAGUUGUUCUACUUGGUAGUUAACCUUGGUUUUAUUUGACUGCUAGAAGUUCAAGUUGACUUAGUAUGAACAUGUAAUUGUAUGAAUGGACUGGUUUCCCUGGAAAGAAAACUGAGUUUGUUUUCUAUAGUACAAAAGUUAUGCGACAGGAAUCAGACAAAUGUUCACUACAACAGGGAUCAAAGGUGAGGUCUGACUGACCUGCCCAUAGUAAAUGUAAAUAAUUUGUUAUUUUGUCCCAUACAUAUGAAUAUAUAUAUAAUUUAGGGGUGGGGAUCUCAACGGUUUUCAAGUUCUCAAACAGAUAGGGGUAGGUAGAGGAUUUAGGGGGGCAGGGGGCCCGGACCCCCCUUUUUGGGGAAAAAAUUGGUUUCUUAUAUAGGGAAUCACUGAAACGUGACUGGAGCGGGCCCCUCUUUAUGUCAGUCAGCGGGCCCCCACUUAUGAAAAUUUCUGGAUCCGCUACUGGGGGUAGGGUGACCCUAGGGACUUCCCCUACAUUUCAUUUUAUUUGUUAUAUUGUCCUAUACAUGAAUAUAUAUGGUUUAGGGGUGGGGAUCUCAUUGGUUUCCAAGUUCUCAAACAGGAGGGGUAAAGUGACCCCAGGGACUCCACCUAUAUUUCAUUUAAUUAGUUAUAAUUUGGCCCAUACAUGAAUAUAUAUUACUUUGGUGUGGGGAUCUCAACCGUAAGGGUUGGGGUGACCACAGAGACUUCCCCUAUAUUUUAUUUGAUUUGUUAUAUUGUCCCAUACAUGAGUAUAUAUGGUUUAGGGGUAAGGAUCUUGACCAUUUCCAAGUUCUCAAACAGGAGGGUGUACAGUGACCUCAGGGACUCCCCCUAUCUUUCAUUUGAAUUGUUAUAUUGUCUUGUACAUGAAUAUAUGGUUAAGGGGUGGCGAUCUCAACGGGUUUUAAAUUCUCAAACAGGAGGGGGUGGGGUGACCCAAGGGACUCCCCUAUAUUUCAUCUGAUUUGUUACAUUGUGCCAUACAUGAAUAUGUAUGGUUUAGGGUUGGGGAUCUGGACCGUUUUUGAAUUCUAAAACAGGAAGGGUGGGGUGACCCAUUUUUAAAUUAAAAUUUGUCAAAAAGUAAUUUUGAGUUUCUGUAAAAAAUAUUUUUCUGCUUUUUUUUCUUUUACAUAUAUGUUUUGGUUUACAAUUCUAGUGUUUAUAUUCAUUUACCAAGCAUAGAUUUAUUUUUUCACCUGCUUUGAUUUAUUUAGUAAUUAAUCGCCAAACCCGGAAUUAUUCUUAUCCGCUUCCGGAAUCGGAUCCGAUAUUGUAAAAUUUUGUCUUCACGGCCGCCAUUGUUAUGUGUUUACAAUGUUGUUUUUGUCAAUCAGAUACGAUUUUACUCGAAUUUAUACAAUAUUUGUCGGCGAUUUUAUGUAUAAAACUAGCGGUUGAACAAAAUGAACAUCGCUGUCAUAAAUAAUAAUGAUAAAAAUAAGUUUUUAGCUCGUUUAAUUGGAGACUUUGGUGAACAUGGUGAAAAGGUUUGCAAAGUAAUUUCUUAUUUUCUUUCAAGUGGAAGGUGACUACGUCAGGCGUAGCUAGAAGCCAACUAUCCUUGUCG